rnacentral:lncRNA from 1 species
UAACACAUAAACAAAUAAAAUAUUAAAUGAAUAGGCAAUUUAUCCCAAAGUAGUAUAGGUUUUUCCUCCCAAAUAAAUUGAGUCUUUGUCACAGGCAUUUAAAAGAGAGAAGAAUAAUUUCUAUCUCGGCUGCUGUAGGGAAACUACCACUUCCCUGUAAAGAAUUAGACCCAUACUUACCCAUGUUGGCAAUGGAGGAGGAACACCAAAUGGGGGAGGAUGGCGAAACCUGGCCCACCAUGAGUCCCUGUCUCCUGGACAUCCUCACGCGUAACCAGUGGGUGACCACUGUGCAGACAGACGGAGGUGUUAGUGUGUGUGUGUGAAUGAGUGCCUGUGCGGACAGAGGUGGGCACUGUGUGUGUGUGAAUGAGUGUGUGGACAGAGGCAGGCAUUGUGUGUGUGUGUGUGAAUGAAUGGACAGAGGGAGGCGUUGGUGUGUGUGUGUGAAUCUGUGUGCGGACAGAGGGAGGCAUUGGUGUGUGUGUGAAUGAGUGUGUGUGUGGACACAGGGAGGCAUUGGUUGUGUGUGUGGAUGAGUGUGUGUGGACAGAGGGGGGCGUUGGUGUGUGUGUGAAUGAGUGUGCGGACAGGCAGGCAUUGUGUGUGUGUGUGAAUGAGUGUGUGGACAGAGGUGGGCAUUGUGUGUGUGCGUGAAUGUGUGGACAGUGGGAGGUGGUGUGUGUGUGUGAACUAGUGUGCAGAGGGAGGCACUGGUGUGUGUUUGAAUGAGUGUGUGUGCAGACACAGGAGGGUGUUGGUGUGUGUGUUUGAAUGAGUGUGUGUGGACAGAGGCGGGCAUUGUGUGUGUGUGUGUAAAUGAGUGUGUGGACAGAGGGAGGCAUUGGUGUGUGUGUGAAUGAGUGUGUGUGUGGACAGAGGUGGGCGUUGGUGUGUGUGUGUGAAUGAGUGUGUGUGCGGACAGAGGGGGCGUUGUGUGUGUGUGUGAAUGAGUGUGUGUGCGGACAGAGGGGGCGUUGUGUGUGUGUGAAUGAGUAUCUGUGUGGACAGAGGUGGGCGUUGUGUGUAUGUGAAUGAGUGUGUGUGUGGACAGAGGGAGCAUUGUGUGCGUGUGAAUGAGUGUGUGUGCGGACAGAGGGAGCGUUGGUGUGUGUGACUGAGUGUGUGUGUGGACAGAGGGGGCCGUUGGCGUGUGUGUGUGAAUGAGUAUCUGUGUGGACAGAGGUGGGCAUUGGGGGGUGUGUGUGUGAAUGAGUGUGUGUGCAGACAGAGGGAGCGUUGGUGUGUGUGCGAAUGAGUGUGUGCGGACAGAGGGAGCGUUGGUGUGUGGGAGAGAAUGAGUGUGUGUCGUGUAAGUGUAUUUGCGCAGAUGUGUGAGUGUAUGUGAGUGCCCCAAGCGUCGUAACAGAACCUUCCAUCCCUUCCAUUCAAACUCAGCGGUACAGUAGAACCACAGGCUGGUGAUUUGAAUACAGUUUCGGGAAAGGCCAAUGAGUAGCAGAGGACAAUGCCCUCGGCAUGGUGCGCGGAGGUGGCAACCUGACCUGCUGCCCUGUAACUUUAGAAUCCCAGAAGGAACCAGCCCCGCAAAGGCUCUAAAGAAAUAAAGCCUGGGGACUUGGGAUCCCUGGGAGCCCAGAUGGAAGGGGACAAGGUCCCGAGAUACUGUCGUCAGGCAGUCCCUGUCCUGACCUCGCAGGAUGGACACAGGCUGAGUGGCCACCUAGGCCCAGAAACAGAGCUGGCACAGAGUCCUGGAAAGAGCAGGCAUUGGGUGGGGUGUCAAGGGGGCAUUCAAAAAAUUAAUUUUAUGAACCAAAUUCCUUAAAUUGAGCCUCAUGUUGGAAAGCACAUCCCCCCGCACAAAGGUUCAGAGUGUGGGCUUGGGAGAGGGUCAGACAUAGAUUCCAUUCUGUGCCCCAGCAAAUUACAGCCCUCGAAACUUCAGUUUUUUGGUUCAUGCCACAUCCUUACAGGACCAUUUAGAGCCAUGCUGCCAAUGGGAAUAUAAUGUGAACCACACAGGCUCAUCGAUGUUUUCUAGUAGCCACACUAAAGAUAGCAAAAAGACACGGGGAUGUUAAUUUAAUAAUGUGUAUCAUUUACUAGAAGAGACCCAAAGUUUAUCACACCACGUGUAAUGGACGUGAAGAUUAUCCCGUAUGUCUUCUCUUGUUCCCAGUCUUUGAAACCUCAUGUGCAUUUCACACUUAAUGCACGUUGCCAGGGUUUUCAAGAGCUUGGUGACCUCAUGUGGCUGGUGGGAUCAUCGCUGGAAGGAAGAGCUGCCGGGGUUAAAUGAGGUAAUCACUGCAAGCGCCGUGCCUCAGGUUUGGUAAACGUCUAAUACACGCAAGAUU